rnacentral:rRNA from 1 species
CCGACUGGAUGAGGGGCCUGCGUAGCAUCAGCUAGUUGGUGGGGUAAUGGCCUACCAAGGCGAAGACGCUUAGCUGGUCUGAGAGGAUGAUCAGCCACACUGGGACUGAGACACGGCCCAGACUCCUACGGGAGGCAGCAGUGGGGAAUAUUGGACAAUGGGCGCAAGCCUGAUCCAGCCACGCCGCGUGAGUGAUGAAGGCCUUCGGGUCGUAAAGCUCUGUGGGGAGGGACGAACGGCGCCAUGAAGAGUGGCGAUUGACGGUACCUCCUUAGCAAGCACCGGCUAACUUCGUGCCAGCAGCCGCGGUAAUACGAAGGGUGCAAACGUUGCUCGGAAUCAUUGGGCGUAAAGCGCACGUAGGCGGCUUUCUAAGUCGGAUGUGAAAUCCCUCGGCUUAACCGAGGACGUGCAUCCGAAACUGGGAGGCUUGAGUAUGGAAGAGGGUCGCAGAAUUCCCGGUGUAGAGGUGAAAUUCGUAGAUAUCGGGAGGAAUACCAGUGGCGAAGGCGG